GAUCUGAGUUGAGAGAGAACACUAUAGAAUAGAAAAUUUCACUCAAGACAAGAGCUAACAAUAUGCUGAUUCUAAGCCUGCUGGGAGCAGCCUUCAGCUCCAUUUGCUUUGCAACGAGCAUGGCCCAGAAGGUAACGCAGACGCAGACUUCAAUUUCUGCGAUGGAGAAGAAGAAUGUGACAAUGGGCUGUGUGUAUGAAACCCGGGAAAGUUCCUAUUACUUAUUCUGGUACAAGCAAACAGCAAGUGGGGAAAUGGUUUUCCUUAUUCGUCAGGAUUCUUACCAAAAGGAAAAUGCAACAGAGGGCCGUUACUCUCUGAACUUCCAGAAGUCAGAAAGCUCUAUCGGACUCACCAUCACAGCCACACGGAUUGAAGACUCAGCAGUAUAUUUCUGUGCUAUGAGUGAGGGCUUUUCGAAUGUGCUGAAAUUUGGACCUGGCACAAAAGUGAUUGUUCUACCAUAUAUCAAGGACCCAGAACCUGCUGUGUACCAGCUGACAGAUCCUCAGUCUAAGAACAGCACCCUGUGCCUCUUCACCGACUUUGAUUCUCAAGUCAAUGUGUCUCACAAGGAAUCUGCAAUGUUCUUCUCUAACAAAACCGUGCUGGACAUGAAGGCUACGGAUUCCAAGAGCAACGGGGCCAUUGUCUGGAGCAACGAAACGAGCUUCACCUGCAAUGAUGCCUUCAACGUGAACAUCCCCCACUCCAAUUCCGAAGUUCCCUGUGAUGCCAAGUUGAUGGAGAAAAGCUUUGAAACAGAUAUGAACCUAAACUUUCAAAACCUGUCAGUUAUGGGACUCCGAAUCCUCCUGCUGAAAGUGGCCGGAUUUAACCUGCUCAUGACUCUGAGGCUGUGGUCCAGAUGAGGUCAGCAAGAUCGAAAGAGCCUGACUGCCAAGCUCCUUCCUCCUCAUCACCCCUCCGAUCCCUCGUCAAGCCAAAAGGAGCCCUCCCAUCUCAUUAAAGAAGGCUGUCAGGGGUCUGGCUGGCCCCCACUCACAAUCCCGCCACCUGGAAUUCCCGGAUUUGUGAGGAAGGUUGCUGGAGAGCUAAGCACUGCUGCACCCACUCAGCCCCCUUACUGCUGCUGACCGUUCACAGAAAAGGCAGGGGCAGGGCUUCUCCCGGACCUGAAGACCCCUUCCCCAUGACAGAUUUCCCCGUAGAAUCCCUUGGAGAAUGUUGUAAAGAACAUGUUUUUCUGUGGGUUUUUUUGGUUUCUCUGUUUGUUUUUUUAUGCAUCCAUAAAGAAAUGCACAUUACUCUUUCAUCGAGGUAUAGAAAUUACCUCAUUGUCUAGCCCCUCCCUGCUGCUGUGUGUACUGAACCACAUUGUAGAUUAUUCUGUUGCCCAUGACUUCAUUAAAGGUGAUUCAGAAAAAACGAAA